UACGAAGGGGGCUAGCGUUGUUCGGAUUUACUGGGCGUAAAGCGCACGUAGGCGGAUUGUUAAGUCAGGGGUGAAAUCCUGGAGCUCAACUCCAGAACUGCCUUUGAUACUGGCAAUCUCGAGUCCGGAAGAGGUAAGUGGAACUCCUAGUGUAGAGGUGGAAUUCGUAGAUAUUAGGAAGAACACCAGUGGCGAAGGCGGCUUACUGGUCAGGAACUGACGCUGAGGUGCGAAAGCGUGGGGAGCAAACAGG
rnacentral:rRNA from 1 species